CCAACGUGUGUUACAUGGUGCCAACUUGUCAACCAAGCAGUGGCCAAAAAAAAAAAGAAAGAAACACUUUGAAGAACCACGUAGCACAUGACGUGUAGGCCUAUACACUGCGACCGGGGAUUUCCUGCCGCCUUACGUACAGCCAAUCACAGUGUCCGUUUCAAGUAAGACCCAGCCUGGCCGCCGUCAGGAGCCCUGCCAUUGGUCCACGGGAUGCCGUAACGCGAGUGGGGUUCAGGCGCCACGUUGCACGCUGAUGCGCUAACUCCGUUCUCUGUGGAGUCAGUAUGUCAGUUUGAAACCAGUAAGGAGGGAACAUAUGAACAUGGUUACAGCUCUGUUGGUUGCAGAGCUGCUUCUUUCUUUAACAUGGUCGUGUUCCCACUCCAACAUGCACCCGGACGGUGUGGCUAUGUGUAAUGUGUCGAGCAUACAGGUUGGUUUGUGGAGGAGUUGAAGUAGAAUAUUGAUUUGACUCAACAAUAACAGGUUAUCGACAACACCUGCAAGCUCCUUCUCUGUAUCGUCUGACUUGACUCCUCCAUCAAGCAGAUAGGAUGGUUUUGGCUGCAGAAAGAGUGUCUCCCCUGGGCUGCAGCAGAGCUCCUGUCCCCUUCUCUCCCUGCAGCUGGAGCUACCAGAGCCAGAUGCUACGUAGCUUCACCACCCUCUGUCCCCCAUUUCUCUCUUCCAGGAGGAUGGUGCCCAGAGAGGAGGAUGACAAACGCCUCUGCCUCCUCUUACUGACGGAUUUGGACGACCUGACUCCAGCCCUGCACUGUUCCAACCGCCAGCACAAGAUGUUGACUUAAUGGAAGGGGGUUGGCUGUGGAUUGGCCCAUAUGCGUUUGUAUUGGGAAAAUAUGGCAGGGCGGCGGUGUGUCUGUGUAUUUGUGUAUUCAAUAGUGGUGUGUGUGUGUG